UUUGAUUUUUUUUUAGGGCCUCAGGUGUGGCAUAUGGAAGUUCCCAGGCUAGGUCAAACUGGAGCUGCAGCUGCUGGCCUAUGUCACAGUCACAGCAAUGCCAGAUCCAAGCCACGUCUGAGACCUAAACCACAGUUCAUGGCAAUGCCAGAUCUUUAACCUGCUGAGCAAGGCCAGGGAUCAAAACUGUGUCUUCAUGGAUACUAGUCAGGCUGGUUAACACUGAGCCACAAGGGGGACUCCAGAAAGCAGGUUAUUAUUAGAAGUGAUUUAACAACAAAAACAAACAAAGGCCUUGGUCCUAGUCAUAGCUGUGCUAUCCUCCCUAUCCAUUGUGAACAGUGAAAAAAAUCACCCAAUUCAUGUGUAAAUAAUUGAAAAUACAUAAUUAGAGAUGACUCCAUUUCGCUUUGUUUAUUCUGUCUUUAUUUACAUCUGCAAUAUCUAUUAUGUAACUACUAGUUGAAUGUGGCUGUUGAAUGCCUGACCUGUGGCUAGUAUGAACUGAGAUGUGUGUAAGUAUAAUAAACACACCAGAUUUUUUAAACUUUAACAAAGUAAAUGAUCUCAUUAAUAAUUUUAUACAAUUACAUAUAAAUCAAUGAAAUUAAUAAUAUUCUGUAAAUACUGGCUUAAAGGAUAUAAAUCAAAUUAAUUUUACUUUUUUGCUCUUGUUCUUUUUUGAUGUGAAUACUAGAAAAUUUAAAAUUGCAUAUACAACUCGCAUUUGUAGUUCAUAGUAAAUCACUAUUGGACAGACAAUUCUGAGAGGGAGCAUAAUAGAUAAAUUUUAUACAUUCUUAAAAGCUAGUUUAAUUAGAUUUAAUUAGCAAAGGUAAAUGAGAGCACAAAGGUAACUACCACCAGUUUAAAAAGACAGGAGGAGUUCCCGUCAUGGCGAAGCAGAAACGAAUCCGACUAGGAGCCAUGAGGUUGUGGGUUCGAUCCCUGGCCUCACUCAGUGGGUCAAAGAUCCUGCAUUGCUGUGAGCUGUGGUGUAGGUCGCAGACUUGGCUCGGAUCUGGCGUUGCUGUGGCUCUGGUAUAGGCCAGCGGCUACCGCUCUGAUUAGACCCCCAGCCUGGGAAUCUCCAUAUGCCGCGAGUGCGGCCCUAAAAAAAAAAGACACAGGAAAGUGUGCAGCAUGAUUUAUACCCUAAGAUUGACUGAUAAAGGCUUUGAUGAUUGGUAACCCUGAGUGCUUACUAGUAAGGUACCUGGAAUUGUGUAUGCUUUAUCUCAUUUGAUACUCAUAAAUCCCCUUGGGACCAAAGCCACUUACUGUAUAUUUUUCCAUAGUCAUUUGUCAAAAAUUAGCUUGUCUUUCUCUUUCCCUUGGCUGAAGUCUGCAAAGUUGUGGCUUUUUUACUUCAGUAGCUUCCCUUUAAUUUUGAGAUAGAAUUAAUACUAAAUAAAUGUUAAAACAUUAAAAAGUGAAAGUGCUUAUGAAAUGUAUGUGUGCAGGAGAAUCCUGGGAUCAAGAAGAUUAUGAUAAACUGAUUAGUAAGUGUAGAAAGACGUAUCAGAGCCUCUGAAAGGGACUGAAUGGGACUCUAGUUCAUUAAUACCAUCCCUUGUCUCCACCUUGACUACUUUAAGCUUUAUUGUAUAAAAUAAUGCACAGGGUAAGGAUUCAGGACAGACCCCGAGGAGGGGCGAGGCAUGCUGGCUUUACUCUCAGGUAAUGACCAUCAUUGGAAAUUACACUGUGAUUCAGCUUGUAUAUUGUCUUACUCUGCAUAUUCUCUGACCUGAUUUAUUUUCUUGCUUCUUAAACUUAAAAUCUCCAAAAGUUGUUCCAACUCUACUUUUCCAGAAGAGAUUAAUAUAACUGUUAUUGCUUGUUUUGCCCCCUCUCUCUUUUCUUCUACAUUAUAAUAAAAUUAGACCCCUCAACAGCAGUCAGAGUUUAUGCUUCAUUUUGUUCUGACAUCUCUAUUUGUAUGGGUCACCACCAGGGAAACCCCAUUAACUUUGAAUUUCAAAGCUUCAUGUAAACUACAAGUGUCCCAUAAAUCUAAUCCUACUACAGGAGACUGCUGAAUUCUCAAAGGAUAUCUCCUGAGACUUUCAAGAAUUUUCAAAGUCAAGAAUACUAUUACAGUAUGAAAUUUUUCUUAAAAAUUCAGUAGUACCAAUUUUUUUUUAAAGUAAGUGAUUUCUUCAGACUCUUGAUGGUUCUACAUAUCACAAGGUCAGAGUCAUAACAGUAUAAAGGUAUUUGAGGGAUAAGAAUUGCUAGUGUCUUAGGUCUUUUUUACUGCUUACCAAUAUUAUCAGUUAGCUAUUUUCUGAAGUAUUUCACAAAGCAACAAAGUUUUCAUGUCAUGAGUGUAGCUGAGUAGACAUUGAUUAAGACGGAAAAAUAAAAACUCAAGUUGAGAUGGACAGGGAAGCUAAUUCCAGCACACUAGCUUCAAUGCAUAAGAGAUUCAAUUGCAAUUGCGGUAAAUUACAAAUUAUUACAUAUUAUUGUGCUUAAAGAUUGUCAACAAAAUAAUGAAGUGACUUUUGCAAUGCCAAAUAUAAUUACUCAAGCAAUUUAAUCAAAACUAUAUUGAAUUUCUUUGAAUGCUAGCUGACCACUGCAGUAUUCCUUGGAAAAAACUGUAAUUAUUCUUAAAUAAAUCUUUAUUGAUACACAAUCAUGAGCAAGGUUUUAUUAAAUUGCUAAUGAAGAAGGGCUCAAAAUUCAGAGCAUCUGCCCACAUGACUUUCAGUUUGCAGUACUUAUCUGAAACCACUGUUUAAUUUUCUCUGUCCAGGGCACCUUAAUAUGAGAAUUCUAACAAACUCUGAGUCAUCAUCAGUGGGCCCAUUACACUGUAGUCUUAGCUCUUCUUAAGAGCUUGUAUCUUCGAAACACCCAUCAGAAAUCUCCAAAGUGAAUUUCAUACAUUCCUGUAGCUUUCGUUUGUUUGAUAUUGUAACCAAUAAUUGCAUUAAAGAUAACAUAAAUCAGGAACUAAGUAUUAUUCAAAAAUCUUUAUUUUAAAAAAUGUUUAUACUAUUGGUAAAAAUAGUAGUUAUUAGAUACACAAUUAGCCUUUUUCUAUUCCAAUUCCAGAAAUGAGAAUUUCCUUCUUUAAGUAAAAAAGUGAAAUUUACUCGACAUGUCUAAUAAAUUGAUGAGUUAUUUAUUAAUGGUUUAUGAUAGAAACCUCAAAUGUCCAUAAAUAUAUCUUCCUCUUUCCUUUUACAAUAUUUUCUGAGCACAUGCACGCACAUGCAAACACAUAAUUGUCUAUUUAGUUCUGAACUUAGCUAAGAUUAAUGAUUUUUCCAUUCAUACAGAUUACAAACUGGUGGUGGAAUAUGAUACUUCGUUCAUUUAAUUAAAGAAGUCUAAGUCCAGAGCAAAAUAAAUGUUAACUAACGUUAUUUGUAUUCCAGGGAUUCAUCCUCCAUCUCUUCUAACUAACUUAAAUGCCACACCAUGUAUCUGGAUUCCUUAACAACUCCAGGCACAUUUCCCACCACUUGCCUCUGUCAACCCUGCAAGCUGUUCCUUCUGACUUCAAAGUGUGAAUAUUUUUGCUUCAUCAUCAGUUUUGUAGUCUGAAGGGAGAGUUGGCUUACCUAAAAAGAAGCCAUACUUUCCAAUGAAGACAAUAGAAUAGGGAUGCUAAUUACCACUUCCUUUUAAAAUAUGUAUGCCCCUUCCUCCCACAAAGAAAAAGACAAGGGGACUUUCUUUUUUGAAAGAAUAAAGGCAAAAUGUGAAAGAGAUCUUCAAACAGUGCUAAUUACAUUUUAAAAAUUCAGACUAUUAAAAUUACACAUAAUUAUCAGCUGAAUUAUUUAUAUAUUCAAUUAUUCAGAUCAGAAAUUUAACAGUUCCAAUAACAUUAAAAUGUUUCUAAACAAAAAUUCUCAAGUUACUUAUCAUUUCUACAAAGCUACCUGGUUAAAGCUCAAUGUUGAAUGCAGUACUACCACUUUGUGUUCAUCAUACUGACGUUGCUUUCUGCUAACAGGUUCUAAUUGUUUUGACAGUCCUGGUCUUAGCUUUCAUGCCACAUAAUCAGUCUUUCUUGCUUAUCAUAUAGCUAACCCGGAAGAAUCUUUUAAUUUUAAACAAUAAAGUUGAGCUCAAUCUAAAAAUGGAGGUAUUACAGUGUUUCAAACACAUCAUCAUAAGACAAUGUUCGUUUCUAAAUUCACCUUGAAGACCUUCCUUUACCAGGUGGCGCUUUGAAUUCUGGUCAACUCAUGGCUCUGCAGGGACAUGGAACCAUUACUUAUAUUUGGAAGCAUUAUUUGAUUUUCUCAAGCUACACUUCAAAUGAAGUUCAAUGAGGAAAGGAAUACACUAGAAUAAAACUAACAUUUUUAAGGAUUUAAUUAAAUUGGGUAAAUUGAGUUAGUGCUCCCUGGCUUUCUUCACUUUGUUCUAAUCAGUGAUUGAAGGUGUUAUUUUAAACUUCUAAGUUUGUUUUAUUUACUAUGAAUAAAUGAAAAUAGGUACCAAUUUUUGAGGACUUACGUGCGUGGCAGCAUACAAAAUAUUUUCUUAAAUCUUCUUUGAUCUCCCCCAGGAGCUUACUAGGUGGAUAUCAUCUCAUUUUAUAAGUGAAGAAAGAGAAGUAUGGUGGUGAAGCAAUACGUUCAAUGUCACUAAGUCCAUACACUAAGGCUUUGCUGUCUAUUGCUAAUCAUGCUUAUUGUUCUAGAUUACAAAGAUUUCUUCUACACCACUAGAUAAUGGACCUUAAAAAUUACCUUUAUAUUCCAUAGCAAUCACUGAACUCACUUUGAAAGUUGGAACUAUUAAAGUGUUUAAUUAUUUAUGGUUAACCUAAAAACAGUUUAAAACCAAAGAUGAGAUUCUUUCAAGCUGCAGCUAGAUUUUUCCCCUUCUUUUUAUUUCUGCAGAAUUAUAAAAUCAGUAUUUGCAAAGCCCUUACUUCACUAUUUCUUCCCCCUCUCUCCUCAGGGUCACUGUAUUUGGCAUGGUAUGCAUGUAUCACAUCACAUAUAUCAUAAUACAUAUAUAAUCAUAUGGAAAUUUAUAGUUUAGUUUUGUGGGAUUUUUUAAUAAAUGGAAAAAUACUGUGUAUUUUGUUUUACAAUUUGUUUUCUUCACUUAAUAUAUUUUGAACACUUAUUUUUCAAUACAUCUGUCUCAUUUUUUAAAAAUGCAUUAUGGAUAUUCUUAGAUUAAUACACAUCUAUAUUGCAUCCAUAUGUUCAUUUGAAACAAUGCAAUGAUGGUUAUAAUUAAGAAUGCAUAUAUGGGGGAUUUUCUAAGCCAGAUAUUGAUAACUGGAAUUGCCAGAUCAAAAAGUAUUUGUAUUAGUUAUAAGAGUACAAGAGAGCCAUUUUUCUCACACUUUUUUUUUUUGGCAGCACCUGUGGCAUGUGGAGGUUCAUGGGCCAGGGAUCAAACCUGUGCCACAGCAGCAACCCAAGCUGCUGCUGUGACAACGCCAGAUCCUUAACCUAGUGGGCCACCAGGGAACUCCUGUUUCCUUACACUUUCUGUUUAAUUUUUAUCUUUCUUUUUUCCUCACUUUUGCCUCUGAUGAAUUAAAGUAUCUUAUUUUUAAAUGUGCAUAUUUGUGACUUUUAGUGAGAUUAAGAAGUGUUUCACAUAUUUUUUUGUCAUCUGUAGUUCUGUAUAUUUUCUAUUCAUAUCAUUUGCCCAUUUUUCAGAAAGAUUGUUUAUCUGUUCACUAUGUAUUUUUAAAGAGGAGUUCUUAUAUUUGAAAUUAAAAAAAUGUUUCUUUAUAAUUUAAUUGCCUAAAGAUUAAGCUCUUGACAUUACUUCUAGAAAAACCUUGGUUGUGAUAGUUCAUUUCUGUAUAGCCAGAAUCACAAAUAUUUUUCUGUUUCUGUCAUUCCAUAGCCAACACUCUUCUCUUUAUUAAGUAUACUUGCCAACAAAUUCCAAUUCCCGUGGCACUUUCCUGGAAACAACAGCAAUAACUUUUUAAUAUAAUGUCAUUCUGAUGUUUAUACUCUCCGAGAAGACUAAAACUGUAAGAAGUUCUCAUGAAUAAUUUAGAAGUCCAAUCUUUUCAUUUAGGUAACUCACUAAAAGGUGGAGGGUGGGGACUCCCUCUUUAAGGAAUUCUUAUUCUAUAAAAAGUAAAAUUUGUUUAUUAGACUUCUCUUGGGUCUGCCAAUAAUAAGCUACUUAGCAUAAAAAUGAAGUUAUGCUAAAUCCAGUAGUACUAGAUAAGUUUCAGAAUUCAAUGUCUGUGUGUGUAUAAGGGUAUACUGAUUCAAACUAAAUAGCAAAAGCCUUGAAGUUACUUUUUGCAAGAUUUUGAGGAUAGAUACAUAAUUAAGAGGCUAGAGGUAAUCCCAAGAUUUUGCUGACAAGAGAAUAAAACUGGCCUGAAAUGUAGUUCCUUGGGGAGCACGGCAAAGAAUACAGUUUUUUAGUGGUCUCAUAUAACGAAGCUAAUGUGGAAGCAUUGAGACCUAUCAGAAUCUUUUUUGAGUGUCCACUUAUUAAAGGGUAAGUGUUUCUGAUCAUCACACAUCCUCCUAAAAUAUUUCAGCCUAGCUAGUAUGUUAGGUUCUAAGCUAGAAACUUCCAAAAGGCUAAUUUACAUUUUUAGAGCAUGUUUGAGCCUCUUUAUCCCAUUUUCCAUCAUUAAAAUGAAAAUGUUAUUAAAAAUACCCAGGGAGCUCUUAAAAAUACUAUGUAUUCUUUUAAAAAUCUGCUACAAAUCUAAACUUCCACUAAAUAAUUCUGAAAGUUUUUUUUUUAACUUUUUUAGGUGAAAGUUUUUUAAUGACAGGAAGACUAUGGAUAUUUUGACCACAUAUGUGUCAUCUGGUAUCUUCAUCACUGCCAAGAUCUAUCAAUGGGUUAAACUUUCACUUAUCUUUGUAAAAAGUAAACAUGAGGAAGAAGUCAAACAAACUAAAGCAUAAUAACCAAUAUAGCAACGGCUGUGCAAGGGCCUAAUAUCAGUGGCUAUUUAACUACAUACCAGAAAAAAAGAGUUAAUGUUAAUGCCAAUUCAAAGUGAGAAAAUCACAGUUAGCCAAUUAAUUCAUUUUUAUUCUAUAAAAUUUUAUGUUUUUAUACAUGUUUAGUGGCUUUUAUGAAUACUCGGUUAUCUAUUGCUGCAUAUCAAAUCACCCCAAAAAUUUAGUGGUUUAAAACAACACCAUUUUAUUAUCUCCACCAUUCUGUGAAUCAGCUAAGCCCAGCUCCAUGUGAUCUCAUCUGGCUCUGCAGCAUCCAAAAUGAAUCUUAGUGUCUCACACUGUGGUGAAGAAAGCUGGGCUCUACUGGGAUGCUGUGAUUAUUGAACAUCCCAAUGGUCUCUCCAACAAGGUAGCUAAUUUUUGCACAUGCAAUUUUUUUGCUCAUGAGCCCUGAGCUCAGGACUAUCCUAAAAAUGCAAAGCAGAACCUACCAGGCAUUCUUCAGGCGUAGACCAGGAACUGGCUUAAUGACACUUGUACUACAUUCAGUUAGUUACAGCAAAUCACAGAGCUAAUGCAGAUCCUGUGUGAAGGCGUACAGAGAGGCUUGAAGACCAGGAGGCGUGAUUCACUGGGGGCUGUCAAGAGUUUUGCUAAGCAACUCCAUGCUGUUGCUGUCCCAGCAUCCAUUUUGUUUGGACAAGCAUUUCGUUUGUGUGGGCUGUAAUCUGACAUCAGCCCUUCAUGCAAGCACAUACACUAGAUGACAGCCUGCAGAGUCACAAGUAAAUGUAAGUUCUUGAUCUGACUGCCACAAUGGCCCUUGUGAUAAACACUCCUUUGCCUCCCAGGGUCUUCGCCUUAUUCACCUCAUAUAUAAGACCUUCUUGGAGCUCACCAAAACCUUACUUUUUUGGUUUGAAUUGACCAAUCCAGGCUUAGAUCAGGAAUCCCAAAGCACUCCAUCCUGGGACCCUAAGAAAGGCAUGUGCCCCAGUACCUGCCAGCUCUCUCUGCCUUGACCGUCCCAUGUGGUUACCCCAAGCUUGCCACGUAUUUUCUCCAGGAUCUGAGAGUAAUAAACUCUUCAGUCUUAAUUCUCUUGUAGUCUUUUGUUGAACCUCAGCUUACCAUCUGACAAUCUGGGGCUCUAUUUGGAAAAUGUUAAUUUAAUAAAGUAAUGACAAGGGGUAUCUUUGGAAAGUAGCUCCCACUGUUAGCCUUCUUGCCAAAAAUGAUAUAUGUUCCUUCUGCUUUCAAAAUACACUUAAAAAUAUCCCUAAACCCUCAAAGCUGCAUCCCAUUUCAACAUCAGGAUCACACUUUAAGUGCAGGAUAAACAUAAUGUAAAUCAGGCUCAAGUGCAGUUGAUAUUAGCUGGUGGGUUCCUCUUCUUGAUCUGGAGACCAUGAAAAAAAACAAGGUAUGUGGCCCCCACAUACCCAGCAUACAGUGAGGAGACAGGAUCAGGAGAACCACAGUGGACACUUCCAUUCAAAAAGAGGAGUAAAAAUGAUAGCAACAUAGUCACCAGUCUGAAAAACUUCUGAGAUGCAGCAGAGCACAGAUGCCAUUUCACUUUUCCCAGAAGGCAAGGUGUAGGUUGACUAGGGCCUACAUAUGUUCCCUGGUGGUGGUCUUCUUGAUUAUUGGCCCUACGCUCAGAACUCUUGACACUAUACUUGGAUUCAUUGUCUUUCCUUAAGAAACAGUUCAUGUUUGCAGCUGAGUAGUGUUCUCAGCCUGCUUCUUGCCAGUAGGAAGUUUGAGGGCUCAAAACAUUUUUGUUUUGAAGACUUGUUCCUUUCAAUCCAAGCUGGUACAAUUCUUUUCAAAACUUGUAGGUUUGUUACAUACAAAUCAUAAUCAAAUUCAUUAGACAAAAAUGACACCCACAUAUUUUGGGGUGGGAUCUUUAUUUGGGGCCAACUAUGAGGGUGCAUAGGUUCACAAAAGAGAGGGUCAGAGAGAUAGGUCCUCAAGGUUCUUAGAAGUAAUUUCUACUAAUGGGAAAAAUGAGACAUUUUUUACAAUUUCCUGAAGUCUCAACAAAAUUGAGACUUUGGUCUGAUCUUGAAUUGGAGGCCAUAAUACUUUACUAGCAGAACUCUGGGUUUGCCAUUUUUCCCUGAAGAAGAAAUUUUUAAAAUAUUCCAUCAAUCCCCCCAGUUAUUUCAUGUCUUUUUUUAGUGAAUGUCUCUCACCACUGACAAUGAUGUCCUCUGUUACUACAGAUCAGUCUUGUCUUUCUAGAAUUUUAUAUAAAU
rnacentral:lncRNA from 1 species